UACGUAGGGGGGCGAGCGUUGUCCGGAUUCAUUGGGCGUAAAGAGCUCGUAGGCGGCUUGGUAAGUCGGGUGUGAAACCUCCAGGCUCAACCUGGAGACGCCACUCGAUACUGCCAUGGCUAGAGUCCGGUAGGGGCCCACGGAAUUCCUGUGUAGCGGUGAAAUGCGCAGAUAUCAGGAGGAACACCGGUGGCGAAGGCGGUGGCUGGGCCGGAACUGACGCUGAGGAGCGAAAGCGUGGGGAGCGAACAGG
rnacentral:rRNA from 1 species